UUGUUGAUGACGAGCCGGUUUGCC
rnacentral:siRNA from 1 species